CAGGUAAGUAAUCAUCCUUUCUUUGUCGAGAGACGGGUACCCGCGAAUACGAGUGUCGUCGUAACAAUCUGCGUACUGAGCACCGAAGGACUUGUUACUCGCUGCGUACUGUAAACUCUAGGCCGUCAAUUGGUUUUAAUUUAAAGCUGCUUUAUGUAGUUUUUUUUCUACAUGAAGAAACAAUGGCAAACUACGAACACAGCAAUUUAGGAACAACGCACAUGGCUUGCGCUCAGGCGGUUACGGCAAGGCCGCGUCGCGUUGAAUUUAUGUGGUUUAUAUUUCGGCAAAAAUGAGACAGAAAUUGUUAGUUUCUGUACUCAUACCGAAUUGAAAUAAGUAGACAAAUGAACCAGUGCUCUGGUUCGCUGUAUUAUAUUAAACUAGACAUGUUUAGUCUAGCCAGAAACCAUUUUUUCUCGAGAAAAAUGUAUUUUUUAAAUUAAAUACCGAAUGAAUGAGGCGGAUUGCAGGCCAACGCGAGCUGCUUUACUGUGUUUUUAAAUGCCAGUUGCUUAAUUUCACAGAGCAUCCGAAGCGUGUAUCCAACAUGAGUUUUAUCAUCACAGGUUCAAAUACUACUCUGUACCAUUUUAUUUAUUACUAUCGUAUUUUGAGUUAAUUUACAUAAUCAUAUUCAUUUUACUCUUUUUUUCUGCCUGUCAACUAAAAUGUCCAUCGAUUUUUGCCCAGUUUUUAAUUUAAUAAAUUAUAUUAUUUGUCUCUUUUCCAUGAGACUAGAAAAUGCAUGCUGAUUAACUCAUACUUUGUUUUAUUAAUGGAGGUUUUAGUUCCAUCUGGUCUACUUUCCAUCCUGUGAAAAUGUGUGACGACAAAACAUUGUCGUAUUUUCAUGAAUGCAAGUUGGAAGACAAGUGUUGAAAACAUUGGCAAAGACAGAUAAACUUUGUACAGAAUUGCCGAGAUCUAGCAUAAAACUCUUUUUCACCAUCUCAGUUGUCUACAAAAUUAACAAUUUUCCCUGUUUUUCCCUCUUCUGCCCUGAUGUGUAGGCUCAAAUGCGUAAAGCCCAACCAUCAGGGCAACAUACACCUCUUCUCAAAGAGAGGCCUGGUGCUGAGACUCAUUCCGGAGCCUUCUCCACAAGGUCAACACCAUCAUCAUCAUCAGAGGAGUCUGUGUCAUCCGCCCAAAGUGGAGAUGACCACAAACCAGCAUUCAGUGAAGGGAGGGGGUCCCGGUCGUCCAACAGCAGUGGAUCAGAAAAGGACCACAUUGAUUUGCAUGAAGCUAAGGCCCUCAAGGCAAAAUGUAAAUCAAAACAAAAAGAUAUGAAAUCGAAAGGAACAGAGAAGUUAAAUGAUGGCCAAAAAAGGAACUACCACCAAUCUUCGUGGAUGUGACACGUGCCUCAGAAAAUACGCACAAGAGAGCAAGGCCAAAAACCCAGAACUGUUGAGGUCAACAAAAUUAAGGAAGCAUGUUGCUACCUUAUGUCAGCUUCUCGACCUGAACAAUCAGGAACUCGAGCAAGUUGCUCGUUUUAUGGGACACGACAUUAGAGUCCAUUGUGAGUUUUAUCGGCAGACCGAUAAAACUUUCCAAGUGGCCAAGAUUGCCAAACUACUGUUUGCGAUGGAACGUGGGACAGAGUCGCUGAAGGGAAAGAGUCUGCAAACCCUGGACUCUGUUAUCACUGGAAGAGCACAUGCAGCCACCUCAACCAAAGGUCUGAAAAGUGGCAAAAAGAGAAGACCAGAUCCAGGGAGACGACAGGAAGCUCAAGAUGAAUGAGAAGUGCCACAUUCAGCUGUAGCAACGAGAUCUGAUGAUGAAGAUGAUGGAGGCGGUAACAGUACCAACUUGGACACUGAAAACACAGGCACCUACAAAAGGCCACCGAAGAUGCAGUCAAUUAAAGAAAGAAAUUAUGCUGAUGACGCUGAUGACGACAUGAGUGAGGUUUCUGGCAGUGAAUAUGGCGGUAAUGUUUUUUUGUCCGACUUGAAUCCUCUUUUGCUGUAUUAUUGGCAUAUUUCUGAGAUGCAUGUGGAAAGAACUUUGAUUCUAUCAAAACAUUAUUUUAUAGAUGGAGGGGUGUGCCAUAAGACAGUUAAGAAGACUGUCAAGAAAAAAAAGACAAUGUUGGGAAGACAUGGAUUGGUCUAUGACGCAUCUUUCACACAUGGCCAAGAACAACCAUCAACAUCAGGGAGCGCCACCAAACGAAAGAGGAUUGCAACACUUACACAUGACGACGAUGAUGUUGAAGACAGCGAUGAAGAGGACAAAAAGACUGGACACAGAUCUCUUGGGAAGAAGAAGACAGCAG